rnacentral:rRNA from 1 species
CCUACGGGAGGCAGCAGUGGGGAAUAUUGCGCAAUGGGCGGAAGCCUGACGCAGCGACGCCGCGUGGGGGAUGACGGCCUUCGGGUUGUAAACCUCUUUCGGCUCUGGCGAAGUCUCCAGGUUUUCUUGGGGGUGACGGUAGGGGUUGAAGAAGCGCCGGCUAACUACGUGCCAGCAGCCGCGGUGAGACGUAGGGCGCGAGCGUUGUCCGGAUUUAUUGGGCGUAAAGAGCUCGUAGGCGGCUUGUCGCGUCAAUCGUGAAAUUCUGCGGCUUAACUGUGGGAGUGCGGUUGAUACGGGCGGGCUGGAGUUCGGUAGGGGAGACUGGAAUUCCUGGUGUAGCGGUGAAAUGCGCAGAUAUCAGGAGGAACACCGGUGGCGAAGGCGGGUCUCUGGGCCGAUACUGACGCUGAGGAGCGAAAGCGUGGGGAGCGAACAG